rnacentral:tRNA from 1 species
UCCCUGGUGGCUCAGUGGUAAAGAAUCUGCCUGCAAUGCAGGAGACCCAGGUUCGAUCCCUGGGUUGGAAA